GACGAACGCUGGCGGCGUGCUUAACACAUGCAAGUCGAACGGUAAGGCCCCAGCUUGCUGGGGUACACGAGUGGCGAACGGGUGAGUAACACGUGGGUGACCUGCCCUGCACUUCGGGAUAAGCUCGGGAAACUGGUCUAAUACCGGGUAGGGCGGCCCCGCGAGGGGGUGGGGGAAAGUUUUUUCGGUGGGGGAUGGACGCGCGGCCUAUCAGCUUGUUGGUGGGGUAGUGGCCUACCAAGGCGGCGACGGGUAGCCGGCCUGAGAGGGUGGACGGCCACAUUGGGACUGAGACACGGCCCAGACUCCUACGGGAGGCAGCAGUGGGGAAUAUUGCACAAUGGGCGGAAGCCUGAUGCAGCGACGCCGCGUGGGGGAUGACGGCCUUCGGGUUGUAAACUCCUUUCACCAUCGACGAAGGGUUUCUGACGGUAGAUGGAGAAGAAGCACCGGCUAACUACGUG
rnacentral:rRNA from 1 species